AGAGUUUGAUCCUGGCUCAGGAUGAACGCUGGCGGCGUGCCUAACACAUGCAAGUCGAGCGAUCUCUUCGGAGAGAGCGGCGGACGGGUGAGUAACGCGUGGGUAACCUGCCCUGUACACACGGAUAACAUACCGAAAGGUAUGCUAAUACGGGAUAAUAUAUAAGAGUCGCAUGACUUUUAUAUCAAAGAUUUUUCGGUACAGGAUGGACCCGCGUCUGAUUAGCUUGUUGGCGGGGUAACGGCCCACCAAGGCGACGAUCAGUAGCCGACCUGAGAGGGUGAUCGGCCACAUUGGAACUGAGACACGGUCCAAACUCCUACGGGAGGCAGCAGUGGGGAAUAUUGCACAAUGGGCGCAAGCCUGAUGCAGCGACGCCGCGUGAGGGAUGGAGGCCUUCGGGUUGUAAAGCUCUGUCUUUAGGGACGAUAAUGACGGUACCCAAGGAGGAAGCACCGGCUAACUACGUGCCAGCAGCCGCGGUAAUACGUAGGGUGCAAGCGUUAUCCGGAAUUAUUGGGCGUAAAGCGAGCGCAGGCGGUUUUUUAAGUCUGAUGUGAAAUACCCCGGCUCAACCGGGGAGGUGCAUUCGAAACUGGGAGACUUGAGUGCAGGAGAGGAAAGGAGAAUUCCUAGUGUAGCGGUGAAAUGCGUAGAUAUUAGGAAGAACACCAGUGGCGAAGGCGACUUUCUGGACGAAAACUGACGCUGAGGCGCGAAAGCGUGGGGAGCGAACAGGAUUAGAUACCCUGGUAGUCCACGCCGUAAACGAUGAGUGCUAAGUGUUGGAGGGUUUCCGCCCUUCAGUGCUGCAGCAAACGCAUUAAGCACUCCGCCUGGGGAGUACGACCGCAAGGUUGAAACUCAAAGGAAUUGACGGGGGCCCGCACAAGUAGCGGAGCAUGUGGUUUAAUUCGAAGCAACGCGAAGAACCUUACCAGGUCUUGACAUCUUUUGAUCACCUGAGAGAUCAGGUUUCCCCUUCGGGGGCAAAAUGACAGGUGGUGCAUGGUUGUCGUCAGCUCGUGCCGGGAGAUGUUGGGUUAAGUCCCGCAACGAGCGCAACCCUUAUUGUUAGUUGCCAUCAUUCAGUUGGGCACUCUAGCGAGACUGCCGCAGACAAUGCGGAGGAAGGUGGGGAUGACGUCAAAUCAUCAUGCCCCUUAUAUGCUGGGCUACACACGUGCUACAAUGGGCAGUACAGAGAGAAGCAAAUCUGUGAGGAGGAGCAAACCUCAGAAAGCUGUUCGUAGUUCGGAUUGUACUCUGCAACUCGAGUACAUGAAGUUGGAAUCACUAGUAAUCGCAAAUCAGCAAUGUUGCGGUGAAUACGUUCUCGGGUCUUGCACUCACCGCCCGUCA
rnacentral:rRNA from 1 species